AAAAAAAAAACGUGAGUAACCUGCCCUUGACUUUGGGAUAACUUCAGGAAACUGGGGCUAAUACCGGAUAGGAGCUCCUGCUGCAUGGUGGGGGUUGGAAAGUUUCGGCGGUUGGUGAUGGACUCGCGGCUUAUCAGCUUGUUGGUGGGGUAGUGGCUUACCAAGGCUUUUACGGGUAACCGGCCUGAGAGGGUGACCGGCCACAUUGUGACUGGGAUACGGACCAUACUCCUACGGGAGGCAGCAGUGGGGAAUAUUGCAAAAUGGGCGGAAGCCUUAUGCAGCAAUGCUGUUUUUUU
rnacentral:rRNA from 1 species